GCAUGUGAAUAACAUUUUGAGAAUUAGAGUACAUUUGUGUUAUUGUGAAUUUGAACAUAAACAAAAUUCAGUGUUUCAAAACUGCUUCACAUAUAAAAACAAAUCCCGUGUCCGUUUUCGGUCGGAUGGGCCUUGCAGAACAUGUUCUUCAGCUGAUGGUGCCACCCUUCCGCAUGGUUCAGGGGAACAAGAGGUACAUCUCUUCUCACGUGGGCAUGGACCUGUGGAAGCGUCUUGAACUCGGAGGCUUGGCUGGGCAAACUUAUGUUGCGGAAUGCAUAAUAUUGAUCUUCAAAGUAUUAAAUUGAUAUGAUUGAUGCAGAAUGGGAAGUGACCAGCUGGAAGGACCCACGUCUCCCCACCUCCGUCUCCUGUACCGGGGGUCGGUGUCCUGUGUCUGAUCCUCCUGCAAAUGCAGACAGUCAUCACCAGUGCCACGAGUGCAAGAAGAAUGUAUGACAGCUCCAUCAGUCCUGAUAUCUCCUACAAGCACGUGCAACAACUGCAAAAAAUACAAACACAAUCACCACUUGUAUAUAUUGUUUGAUUGACAAGUUUUCAAGUAACAGUAAAGACAAGAUAUUUCCAUGGAUUAUAAUUCCUACAUUUCAUUUUGAUGCGACGUUUCGGUACAGAUCAUUUAUACUGUUGAGAAGAUAAAUACAUGUACAUGUACCAAUAGAGAACAGAUUAAGUAACUGUUGUAGAUUGAUAUUUAAUGUUUGUGUUUGCCACACCAUCAGCGACCGCAAUUUUGCAAAAUGAUUUCACAUUUCCUCUAAUUUCAAACUCGAACUGUAUAUACCCGACCUGGUAUAAACUGCCAAAGCAACCAUGUAUUGAAACACACACAGACACAUUUCUUGUUACCGGUUGCCGUUACUGCAGUAUAUGAUGACUCAAUGAAGGUGUGUUUUCAUCAGUGUUUAGAUCUGUCUGAUGGUGUCGUAUUUCGUCAUAAAAACUGUGUGUAUCAUGAGUAACGUGUCACUAGCGAUGUGCAACAUCGACCAUUAA